rnacentral:rRNA from 1 species
CCUACGGGUGGCAGCAGUGGGGAAUAUUGGACAAUGGGGGCAACCCUGAUCCAGCCAUGCCGCGUGUGUGAAGAAGGCCCUCGGGUUGUAAAGCACUUUCAGUGAGGAAGAACGCCUGGUGGUUAAUACCCAUCAGGAAAGACAUCACUCACAGAAGAAGCACCGGCUAACUCCGUGCCAGCAGCCGCGGUAAUACGGAGGGUGCGAGCGUUAAUCGGAAUUACUGGGCGUAAAGCGCGCGUAGGUGGCUUGAUAAGCCGGUUGUGAAAGCCACGGGCUCAACCUGGGAACGGCAUCCGGAACUGUCAAGCUAGAGUGCAGGAGAGGAAGGUAGAAUUCCCGGUGUAGCGGUGAAAUGCGUAGAGAUCGGGAGGAAUACCAGUGGCGAAGGCGGCCUUCUGGACUGACACUGACACUGAGGUGCGAAAGCGUGGGUAGCAAACAGGAUUAGAUACCCUAGUAGUC